GCCAGUCUGCAUGGAGCCGACCUUGAAAUACCACCCUUUAAUGUUUGAUGUUCUAACGUUGGCCCGUAAUCCGGGUUGCGGACAGUGUCUGGUGGGUAGUUUGACUGGGGCGGUCUCCUCCUAAAGAGUAACGGAGGAGCACGAAGGUUGGCUAAUCCUGGUCGGACAUCAGGAGGUUAGUGCAAUGGCAUAAGCCAGCUUGACUGCGAGCGUGACGGCGCGAGCAGGUGCGAAAGCAGGUCAUAGUGAUCCGGUGGUUCUGAAUGGAAGGGCCAUCGCUCAACGGAUAAAAGGUACUCCGGGGAUAACAGGCUGAUACCGCCCAAGAGUUCAUAUCGACGGCGGUGUUUGGCACCUCGAUGUCGGCUCAUCACAUCCUGGGGCUGAAGUAGGUCCCAAGGGUAUGGCUGUUCGCCAUUUAAAGUGGUACGCGAGCUGGGUUUAGAACGUCGUGAGACAGUUCGGUCCCUAUCUGCCGUGGGCG
rnacentral:rRNA from 1 species